rnacentral:rRNA from 1 species
UACGUAGGGUGCGAGCGUUGUCCGGAAUUAUUGGGCGUAAAGAGCUUGUAGGCGGUUUGUCGCGUCUGCCGUGAAAAUCCGGGGCUCAACCCCGGACUUGCGGUGGGUACGGGCAGACUAGAGUGUGGUAGGGGAGACUGGAAUUCCUGGUGUAGCGGUGAAAUGCGCAGAUAUCAGGAUGAACACCGAUGGCGGAGGCAGGUCUCUGGGCCACUACUGACGCUGAGGAACGAAAGCCAGGGGAGCAAACGGG